CCCCCUCCCGCUCUAUAAAUAGCCGCUCGACGCGCUACUCGCUCUUUUCUGGCGGUGAGCAGCGGCGCGAGCAGGUGAGUGUUGAGGGGGGGGUUGGGGGCAGGGCGCGGCCUGGUCUGGCCUGGUCUGGGAUCGGUUAUGUAGCUCCUGCUUUCUGCUUUAUUUUCUACCUUAGUGUACUGUGAGGGCUGGGAGGGUCCACGCUCCGGGCCCCGCCGGCCCUCACAAGCGUUUCUCUUCUCCCUCAGGCCGGCCGUGCUGCCCCGCGGCCCAACCCCGCCCGCUGCCGCUACGCUGAAGAUUUGUAGUUGAAUGUCAGCAGCUGAGUCUGUGCAGUGACGGUGAGUAUGCGCUGAGCACAGUGGUACGAGUAGAGGUGGUGGCAAAAGGUGAAUGUGUCUGAGGUGUGUAACCCAACCUGAGGUGUAACCCAACCUGGUCUGUGCGGUUUGGAGCGGCGUGGAAGGGGGGCUGCGUUGUGUGCUGUGCUGUCAGACCAUGUGCUCCAUGCUGCUCCUUGCCCGCUCCGUGGCCUCCCAAGCAGUGCUGAUGUAGAGGUGCCCCUCGUUGCCCCUGGGGGUUGUGUGGCACAACUCGGCGUGGUCUGAGCCUGUUGUGAGUGAGGAGAGCAUACAGGGGACCCCCUGGGCUCGGUGGGUGCCUUGUUAUACCGGCUGGGACACCGUGUGCUCCUCCACCCCGCGGGGAGGCCGAGGAAGGAGCAGUGCUGGGGAGGGGGGCUGCAGUUGGGAUUGUGCUGUGUAAGAUGGGCACAGCGGGUGCUGCGUGUCCACCUGGGGGGAGGUCUGAGUUUCUUCUGUGAGUGUUGAGAUGUAUCUGCAUCAGUGCCUGGACUAAUAAAUGACUUGAAAACGUUGCUGUGUGGUUAUUUUCUCUGCUGUGACUGCGAGCUGCCGGGUCAUCCUAUGGAGCUCAGGAAACCCCGAAUAAACGUGGAAGAUUUUAGGGCUCUGUGCGGUUGGGUUGCCCACCCCCCCCCUUUAGGAGAUGCUUGGAGCUGGUAGGGGAGCUCGGAGCUCUGCCGUUGUUAAUGCUCCACGUGUUCUGGUACCAAUAAGCACUGGUUCUGUGCCCUUUGCAACCGGC
rnacentral:lncRNA from 1 species